AUCGUGCUUUUUCUGUUAUUUGUGAACGUAUCCGUUAUAAUGGUUGAUUCGCUAUUCCACGGCAUGUUCCCGCCGAAAUUGGACUACGGUUACAUUAAUAUGAUUGUAAUAUGAAUAUUAAUCAAUUAAUAUGAUAUCUGGUCUUAUCAACUUAACCACUUGGUUGUUUAUUGCUUCAGAAAAGCACUUAAAUGUAAGGGCUUUUUGGACAACUGUUCGGUAGAAAAGCGUUGAUAUCGUAGUUCAGUCAGUAAAUAUACGAGAGGUCUUACAGGCGCCACAGACACCUCUGUCAGUCAUUUGUAAAGAGGAGCAGCACGGCAGCUGGAUGAGUGCGGUCAGUUAAUUAAUGCUGCUUGCUUAAUUUCAUGUUACUGAUUAAGUGUUUAUACUUAACGUUAGAUGAGAUGUUGGUGUUUUAUUGCUCGCGAAUUUGCAAUAACUGCAUUUAUCAGGCAUCACACGUUACGUCACACGCUUAUGCUUGUAUCUGCGGUCCCUCGCGCUGUAUCCAUGAUUUAAAGCGGAAUAAAACUCUUAACUCCUUUGUAAGGAAAAAGUCAAACAGUAGCCCUUCAAAUUAAAAAUAGUGAUGGUGAUCUUGUCAAUGCUGAGAUUUUAAUGCAUCAACAGCCAUUACAUCUGGCUGGAUCAGGAUUGAACAAGAAUCAGACAGCAAGGGUUGUCACAUCAGAAACGUAAUAACACAAACAUAAGAAACUUCACAGGGCUGUGACAGUGACAGUAUUUUACCACCGCGAUGGUAAUGCACCAAUUCACCACUGUGGUGCGGUGGUUAUAGAAUGUGUUUGUGUGAGGGGGGAGGCGGCAAUUUCUUUUUCCGCCGGUGGGUGCUCAUCACAACCUCAAGCUUUACUUCGCAAUGCCAGGUGCUCUAGAGUCUGGAGCGCUCAAAGGCUUUGAAGAGGUGGAAAGUGGCGCAGUCACGUUUUCGUGUGAAUUGUGAAGUUAAAGGCAGAUCACCGUGCAACUUGGUGAAGUCAUGUGUCUUUCCAGAUGGCCAAAUCUGUACCCCUCAAAAAAACUUUAUUAAAUGCCAUGAUAGACAAGAUGAGCCUUAAGAGGAGAUUUGGGAAGAUGCUGUUUCAUAAGUCUUUGCUUUGCCAGAUUAUUUGUGGUUGGGGUGUCUGCCAACGUGAUGCCUUGCUGGUCUGGUUUGAGUUUGAAGUCUCUCACAGACAGUCCAGAAGGUCUGGAGUCCAUCUUAGCUUUCAUUGAUGCUGUCAUCAUUUUUUAAGUGCAUGAGCCAGAAUGGACGGGUGGUGGUGGCCAUUAGAAGACUGUCAACUAAACUAGGGUGACCAUACGUGCCAUUCUUCCCGGACCCGUCCUGUCCAGUCUUUUGGAACUCGUAUUUGUCGACCGCAUACGUCACAGAGGAUUAUUAUUAUUAUUACAGAAAAGCAACCGUUACAUUUUAAGGUAAGAAGAAUGAAACUACGAUUGUAUAUCUUAUGUUUUUAACUGAAUGGCGUAUGCGGUCAACAAAUACGACUUCCGGAAGACGCACCGAAAUCCUGGACGGGAUGCGUCCGGGAAGAAUGGCACGUAUGGUCACCCUAACUAAACCAACAACAAAAUUCAUAUUUGCAGUUAUAAAUAAAAUGACUUUUAAACCUGAUUUUGUUUUCUUAUUUUAUGAUUUCAUUCUAUAUUUGGAAUAUUCAAUUUUUGCACUACUAACUGGAAACUGUUUGAAAGAAUGUGUUUUUAUUAAAAGACAAAUUUCAAAGGUGAAUCAUAUGCCGGCUGGGAUAUCAAAAUAGCAUUAAAAUGACAUCAACAUCAUAACAUCCUGAUAUCAAAUAGAUGUAGAAUUGACAUCAAAAUGACAUCAGCAGGGGUCAAAAUCUUGACAUCAAAUUGACAUCAACACUUUGACGUCAAAAUGACUUUCAUUUUUGACCUAUUCUGUGACGUAAUUUUGACGUCGAUGUUUGAUGUCAAAUUGAUGUUAAAUUGACAUCAAAUGCCC